ACGGCGAAACAGCGGCACUGGCUACGUCUUGGAAAUCUGACUGGCGAGGAAUAGACGAUAUUUUACCCGAAGAUGCAUCAAUGUAUCCUGCACAUGGUCAACAUGACUCUGUUAGCAUUAUUGGCUCUGUUCGUGCUAACGGGACACGGCGCUUCCCUUCCCUCAAAUGCAGUUGAGAAGCGGUCUCGUUACCACAUCAUACCGUACCAGUGUGACCAAUAUUCAAUGGGCUGCCAUAAUGGCGGCAAACUCUGGAAGAUCAAACGAGAUGCAUCGGGAAGUAUGAUAUGUUUCUGUAUUUGCCCUCGCCUUUGGACUGGUCCUGGAUGCAGAGAUCCCGAUUUUUAACACCAGUCAUGCACCGCCUGGGUCCUUUCCCGCGUGCGGGUCGCUGUGACGUCACUGCCGCUAGUAAUCGCUGCUUCGCCGUGGCAUCAAGGUCCAGGUUUUCUCUUGCCUCUACACUGAAGAUCUGUAUUAAUUUAUCGUAAAUACCACUUUAUCUUGUAUAAUGUUUGUGCGCAUUGUGAUUAAAUAUAUACGUAAGUUU